rnacentral:rRNA from 1 species
UAGAGGAAGUAAAAGUCGUAACAAGGUUUCCGUAGGUGAACCUGCGGAAGGAUCAUUAACGAGUUCUUUGAAAGUGGGCUUCGAUGCUGGCCACCCUCUGGGAGGCACUGUGCUCGGCCUCACUCAAAUCCACUCAACCCCUGUGCACUUUCCUCGAGUCCGUGGUCCUCCGUCAUGGGAGUCGCUCCUGCCCUCGUCAGAGGGUAGUUGAGCUGGGAUCGCGUGUGGCUCGGGGCCCUUUACACAAACACCUAUGUCAGUUUAGUAGAAUGUGUCUACGCCUCUGGCGUGAACAAAUCAAAUACAACUUUCAACAACGGAUCUCUUGGCUCUCGCAUCGAUGAAGAACGCAGCGAAAUGCGAUAAGUAAUGUGAAUUGCAGAAUUCAGUGAAUCAUCGAAUCUUUGAACGCACCUUGCGCUCCUUGGUAUUCCGAGGAGCAUGCCUGUUUGAGUGUCAUGAACAUCAUCAACCUCCACCGCUUUGCGGAGGAGGCUUGGAUUUGGGGGUUUAUUGCUGGUCCUUCGGGUCGGCUCCCCUGGAAUGAAUUAGCUAGACGAUUUCCAUCUCGAGACAGCGGUUCACGGUGUGAUAAUGUUUCACNGUGGUAAUCCCGUGAGGGGGAGUGUGUCAAGCUUCUAAAUUGUCCGCGAGGACUUUGACUCAUCUGACCUCAAAUCAGGUAGGACUACCCGCUGAACUUAAGCAUAUCAAU